rnacentral:rRNA from 1 species
AUAUCCUGUCUGAAUAUGGGGGGACCAUCCUCCAAGGCUAAAUACUCCUGACUGACCGAUAGUGAACCAGUACCGUGAGGGAAAGGCGAAAAGAACCCCUGUGAGGGGAGUGAAAUAGAACCUGAAACCGUGUACGUACAAGCAGUAGGAGCACCUUCGUGGUGUGACUGCGUACCUUUUGUAUAAUGGGUCAGCGACUUAUAUUCAGUGGCAAGGUUAACCGUAUAGGGGAGCCGUAGCGAAAGCGAGUCUUAACUGGGCGCUCAGUCUCUGGAUAUAGACCCGAAACCGGGUGAUCUAGCCAUGGGCAGGUUGAAGGUUGAGUAACAUCAACUGGAGGACCGAACCGACUAAUGUUGAAAAAUUAGCGGAUGACUUGUGGCUAGGGGUGAAAGGCCAAUCAAACUCGGAGAUAGCUGGUUCUCCCCGAAAGCUAUUUAGGUAGCGCCUCGGACGAAUACUACUGGGGGUAGAGCACUGUUAAGGCUAGGGGGUCAUCCCGACUUACCAACCCUUUGCAAACUCCGAAUACCAGUAAGUACUAUCCGGGAGACACACGGCGGGUGCUAACGUCCGUCGUGGAGAGGGAAACAACCCAGACCGCCAGCUAAGGUCCCAAAGUAUUGCUAAGUGGGAAACGAUGUGGGAAGGCUCAGACAGCUAGGAUGUUGGCUUAGAAGCAGCCAUCAUUUAAAGAAAGCGUAAUAGCUCACUAGUCGAGUCGGCCUGCGCGGAAGAUGUAACGGGGCUAAGCAAUACACCGAAGCUGCGGCAAUGUCUUUUAGA